rnacentral:rRNA from 1 species
UACGGAGGGCGCGAGCGUUGUCCGGAAUCACUGGGCGUAAAGGGCGCGUAGGCGGCCCUGGUAAGUCUGCGGUGAAAGCCCGGGGCUCAACCCCGGGUCGGCCGCGGGUACUGCCGGGCUGGAGUGCCGUAGGGGCAGGCGGAAUUCCAGGUGUAGCGGUGAAAUGCGUAGAUAUCUGGAGGAACACCGGUGGCGAAGGCGGCAUCCUGGACCAUUACUGACACUGAAAAGCGAAAGGCAGGGGAGCAAACGGG